UACGAAGGGGGCUAGCGUUGUUCGGAAUUACUGGGCGUAAAGCGCGCGUAGGCGGUUUUCCAAGUCGGGCGUGAAAGCCCCGGGCUCAACCCGGGAAAUGCGCUCGAAACUUGAAGACUGGAGGCCGGAAGAGGGUAGUGGAAUUCCCAGUGUAGAGGUGAAAUUCGUAGAUAUUGGGAAGAACACCAGUGGCGAAGGCGGCUACCUGGUCCGGAUCUGACGCUGAGGCGCGAAAGCGUGGGGAGCAAACAGG
rnacentral:rRNA from 3 species